UAUCCUCAUAGCAACAGGUGGAGGUCUGG
rnacentral:piRNA from 1 species